AUGGGGAUCAAAUAAGGGCUAAAAUUAAAUAGCAUUAACAGUUACAAAAACAACAUUUCUUCAUUAUGUCUUGAAUAAGUAGAAUAUAAAGACAAUUUCAACCCCAAAUUGGAAUAUUAGACAAUGAUUCCACCUUCUGUAUGCGAUGAAGAGAGGUAUUAGUUGCUGUCACCUCCAAAAAGGUAUCCCAGGGAAGAUCCACCACCAGGAGCAGCAUGGAUUUUCGUACACGGUCGAUCCUGUCAAGAAAGGAUCCCGUUAUAUUCGACCUCCACUUCUUGUUGUUAGGAUAGAGAAAACAAGAAAUCAAAUGCAAUUCAACAUCUGAAUGAGUUCGAAAUUUCACAAAUCAAACAAUGGCAAAUCAGCCUUGUGCUCUCCCACUUUACAAACAGUUCUAGAUAGCCAUGUGAUCACCGAGCAACCCUUCAAUUUAAAUCAUCAUGAUAAAGAAGUUGCAGAAGUAGGGAAAGACAUGCAAUUUAAAUCAUCAUGGUCUUCAAAAAUGAGCAGAAUUUUAAAACAACAAAUGUUCCGAAACAAUGUUGGUACUUGGAAUUGACUGAAGAUCUCAUUAACAAGAGUUAAGUCCCUUGUACAGGGUGGUUUGCCAGGCAGAAUGCUAGGUGGUAGCACUGCAUUUGAUGUUGGGCAAAAAACAAAUUUAAACGAAAUUGCAAUUUGUACCCGUUACCCGUCCCUCACAUGGGAGGCAGGGCCCGCGCAAAAUAAAUGUGUGGGACCCACCCCCCCCAUGUGAGUGGCGUGUAAACGCCCGGGUACAUGUAGCAAAGCCCAAUUUAAACAUACCAACACAGUGCUGCCAGGCAUUAUGUCAAACUGCAUGGCAAACCCCCUUAUACAUGUAGCAUGAUUCCAUUAAAAAGGAAUCACCCUCUUCACCAUUUGCACAUCAGCACAUGCAUGGGUAUGUUUAGCAAUCAUCUGUAGAUACAAACAUGCAUUUGCACCCACACAAAAUGUGUUUAAAAAGAAUAAAACGCGUGCUCAGGCCUUUUUCUAGCUUCAGUGCAAACCAAAAGAAAAA
rnacentral:lncRNA from 1 species